rnacentral:misc_RNA from 1 species
GAAAUGCGAUACUUGGUGUGAAUUGCAGAAUUCAGUGAAUCAUCGAAUCUUUGAACGCACCUUGCGCUCCUUGGUAUUCCUUGGAGCAUGCCUGUUUGAGUAUCAUGAAAUCUUCAAAGUAAAUCUUUUGUUAACUCAAUUGGUUUCUACUUUGGUAUUGGAGGUCUUUGCAGCUUCACACCUGCUCCUCUUUGUUCAUUAGCUGGAUCUCAGUGUUAUGCUUGGUUCCACUCGGCGUGAUAAGUUAUCUAUCGCUGAGGACACUGUAAAAGGUGGCCAAGGUAAAUGCAGAUGAACCGCUUCUAAUAGUCCAUUGACUUGGACAAUACUUUUAUGAUCUGAUCUCAAAUCAGGUAGGACUACCCGCUGAACUUAAGC